UCCCCCUGGUAUUGGGCAAAGAGACACCUUGUUGGUAGUGGUGUUCUUCUAUCAGUCAGGGACAGAGCAGAUGGCAGUCCUUCGUCCAUCCUAGCUUAAUGCCCAGCUUGGUGGACAAAGCUGUCUUAUGCCUGGGACACAUAA